UUUUUUUUUUUUUUUCAUUUUGUGGGGAGGAAGUGGCCAACCCUUUUUGAUCCAUCUACCAUGCCUAGUUUUAACUUAUAUCAGUUAGGGUAGGAUUUUUUGUCCUAUUGGGGACGUAUUCCGUUCAUACAUCAAUUAUCAGAUAGGUUAUUAAUAAUUAUGUCUAUAUAUAUCAAACUAUAAUGGGAUGCUUUCCUUUUAAAUCCAAAAUCAUUUAAGUUUAAGUAACAUAUGAUUUGUUGCUCAUAGAAUCAACUUUAAUUUCUCUCAAGAACUUCAGCAAUAUGAUGAAUUUUGCAGAACAGAGAAGUCUAAUGUUUCAAUGGAGUGGCUUACCUACAAGUUCAUCAAAUUACACCCAAUAAAGGGGUAACUCCAUUUGCAUGGUGGAUUAUAAGAUCUAUAGCUUCAUUGUAUCAGGGAGACAAUUGAGCAUAAAAAUUGCUUUUCAAUUGUGGUAGUAUCUUUCGCAGAAAUUGCUUGAACGCUAGCUUGGAAUUGUUCAAGUUAGAUGCUCCUUAUAGUAAUGAGGAGAUCAAUGCCGUACGGGAUGAGUGGGCCGAAUUUGUGAAGCCUAUUAUAGAUUAAGUACUUAAGGUUACUACACUUUUGUUAUAAUACAUGAGUAACAAGUUUUAUGAUUAUUGUUAUCUUUUGCAUAUAUUAUUAGUUUAUAUUUAGUUUACGAUAUACAUGGAAUUUAAGUUUUAAAAUCGAUUGCGAAUUUUAUAUAAGUUUUGAAAAUGUUAUUUUAAUUUUUUUUGUAUUAUGUAUUUACUAUUAUAUAGAGUUAUUCUAAAAUUUGAUAUUGCAGGUGGGGAAAAUUGCAUGAACAAUUUGCAAUU